GAUGAACGCUAGCGGCAGGCUAAAUACAUGCAAGUCGUGGGGUAGAGAGGUGCUUGCACUUCUUGAGACCGGCAAACGGGUGCGGAACACGUACACAACCUUCCUUUUAGAGGGGGAUAGCCCAGGGAAACUUGGAUUAAUACCCCGUAAGGUGUUGAUGAGGCAUCUCACUGAUAUUAUAGCAGCGAUGCGCUAGAAGACGGGUGUGCGUAUGAUUAGGUAGUUGGCGGGGUAAUGGCCCACCAAGCCUACGAUCAUUAACUGGUGUGAGAGCACGACCAGUCACACGGGCACUGAGACACGGGCCCGACUCCUACGGGAGGCAGCAGUAAGGAAUAUUGGUCAAUGGACGCAAGUCUGAACCAGCCAUGCCGCGUGGAGGAUGAAGGUCCUCUGGAUUGUAAACUUCUUUUAUCUGGGGCGAAAAAGGGGAAUUCUUUCUCAACUGACGGUACCAGAUGAAUAAGCACCGGCUAACUCCGUGCCAGCAGCCGCCGUAAAAC
rnacentral:rRNA from 1 species